rnacentral:rRNA from 1 species
UUGAACGCUGGCGGCAUGCCUUACACAUGCAAGUCGAACGGCAGCAUGAUCUAGCUUGCUAGAUUGAUGGCGAGUGGCGAACGGGUGAGUAAUACAUCGGAACGUGCCCUGUAGUGGGGGAUAACUAGUCGAAAGAUUAGCUAAUACCGCAUACGACCUGAGGGUGAAAGUGGGGGACCGCAAGGCCUCAUGCUAUAGGAGCGGCCGAUGUCUGAUUAGCUAGUUGGUGAGGUAAAGGCUCACCAAGGCGACGAUCAGUAGCUGGUCUGAGAGGACGAUCAGCCACACUGGGACUGAGACACGGCCCAGACUCCUACGGGAGGCAGCAGUGGGGAAUUUUGGACAAUGGGGGCAACCCUGAUCCAGCAAUGCCGCGUGUGUGAAGAAGGCCUUCGGGUUGUAAAGCACUUUUGUCCGGAAAGAAAUCGCACUUACUAAUAUUAGGUGUGGAUGACGGUACCGGAAGAAUAAGGACCGGCUAACUACGUGCCAGCAGCCGCGGUAAUACGUAGGGUCCAAGCGUUAAUCGGAAUUACUGGGCGUAAAGCGUGCGCAGGCGGUUGUGCAAGACCGAUGUGAAAUCCCCGGGCUUAACCUGGGAAUUGCAUUGGUGACUGCACGGCUAGAGUGUGUCAGAGGGGGGUAGAAUUCCACGUGUAGCAGUGAAAUGCGUAGAGAUGUGGAGGAAUACCGAUGGCGAAGGCAGCCCCCUGGGAUAACACUGACGCUCAUGCACGAAAGCGUGGGGGAGCAAACAGGAUUAGAUACCCUGGUAGUCCACGCCCUAAACGAUGUCAACUAGUUGUUGGGGAUUCAUUUCCUUAGUAACGUAGCUAACGCGUGAAGUUGACCGCCUGGGGAGUACGGUCGCAAGAUUAAAACUCAAAGGAAUUGACGGGGACCCGCACAAGCGGUGGAUGAUGUGGAUUAAUUCGAUGCAACGCGAAAAACCUUACCUACCCUUGACAUGCCACUAACGAAGCAGAGAUGCAUUAGGUGCUCGAAAGAGAAAGUGGACACAGGUGCUGCAUGGCUGUCGUCAGCUCGUGUCGUGAGAUGUUGGGUUAAGUCCCGCAACGAGCGCAACCCUUGUCUCUAGUUGCUACGAAAGGGCACUCUAGAGAGACUGCCGGUGACAAACCGGAGGAAGGUGGGGAUGACGUCAAGUCCUCAUGGCCCUUAUGGGUAGGGCUUCACACGUCAUACAAUGGUGCAUACAGAGGGUUGCCAAGCCGCGAGGUGGAGCUAAUCCCAGAAAAUGCAUCGUAGUCCGGAUCGUAGUCUGCAACUCGACUACGUGAAGCUGGAAUCGCUAGUAAUCGCGGAUCAGCAUGCCGCGGUGAAUACGUUCCCGGGUCUUGUACACACCGCC